UCCAGACUCCUACGGGAGGCAGCAGUGGGGGAUAUUGCACAAUGGGGGAAACCCUGAUGCAGCGACGCCGCGUGGGUGAAGAAGCGCCUCGGCGCGUAAAGCCCUGUCAGCAGGGAAGAAAAUGACGGUACCUGAAGAAGAAGCCCCGGCUAACUACGUGCCAGCAGCCGCGGUAAUACGUAGGGGGCAAGCGUUAUCCGGAUUUACUGGGUGUAAAGGGAGCGUAGACGGCAUGGCAAGUCAGAUGUGAAAGCCCGGGGCUCAACCCCGGGACUGCAUUUGAAACUGUCAGGCUGGAGUGCAGGAGAGGUAAGUGGAAUUCCUAGUGUAGCGGUGAAAUGCGUAGAUAUUAGGAGGAACACCAGUGGCGAAGGCGGCUUGCUGGACCGUAACUGACGUUGAGGCUCGAAAGCGUGGGGAGCAAACAGGAUUAGAUACCCUCGUACA
rnacentral:rRNA from 1 species